UUUACUUUUUUUUCCCUUUCACCGUCAUCCAUGAGAAGACACAGUGUUCCAUCCAGAGGAUGUAGCAUCAAGGCGUCAUCUUAAAAGCAGAGAAAAGACUCUUACUUGACACCAGAUGCCAGUGCAUUGAUCUUGGACUUCCCAGCCUCUAGAACUGUAAACAGCCCUGGGACAAAGAACAGACUACGGGUAUUGCCUUCUUAAUCAACAAUAAAGUAUUAGUUGGCUUCCAGGCAGACACCACUGACUUUCAAGAGAAAGGCACGGGAGUAAGGAAGUAAAGAAUUCAGGGCAAACGUCGAGCUUUCCUCUGGGCUCCAAUGUAAAAGAAGUGGAUAGCGGCUGACUAGUGUACAUAUUAUGUAUGCAGACUUUGAAGGAAUCCCCCUUGUUUUUAGCUGUUCUUCCAUUGCUCCUGGAGACUCUGAGCUCAGAGAUUUUCUAGGCUCUGAUGGGCAGAGUGGCUCGUUUCCUCCCUGAAGUUUCCUUCAUGCCACAUUCUGGAUUACAACCUCCUCCAAAGAGUGUCAUCUGUCAAUAUAAUGUCAUCUCUUGAUUUCUCUGUUUUCUUUUCUUCACUAUAAUAGGUAAUUCUAUGUUUUAGCAGAGCUAAAUACAUCGCCUUCAUCUUCAA
rnacentral:lncRNA from 10 species